rnacentral:lncRNA from 1 species
UCUGCCACAAAAUCCACACAUUCAAUCCGGGAUCCCGACGCUGUGGACUGGAGCCGGUGUCCGAGAGGCUGGCUCCAAUGAGGAAAUCACGAAUGAGACGGAGUCGGGGUGACCAGUCGCUAUCCUCUCCUGUGUGGUCUCUGCAUUUAGGUGUGGCCAAUUACUGUGAACCUCUAAGCUUGUAGUACAUGCUUUGAUGUGCUGAUGAGGAGGCUGCAGAUCAGGCGCUCAUGGUCGCGUCGAAGCGCAGCAGGAGGAGGGCUGGUACAGAACUUUGUACUUGUGCCCCCUGUUCAGGUUCUAUGAUUUGAUUUGAUUUGAUUUGAUUUCCUCCGCUCCACUUCUCUCAGGUGUUAUAUGUUUUAUUACUCUGAUGAUUGUCGUGAUUUUGUCGAGACCGUCAUCGGCUACUCUUUUCACCCUGCUUCAGUUUCAGUAUUGCGUACCAAAGACCUAUAUAUUUCUGAUUCUCAAAAGGUUACGAAUUCCCAGUAUCUACAAACUUCUGGUGCUGAAUAUACAGAAUUUGUUGUGAAAUAUUAUAUUAUCCUAAAUGCUACUGUAACUUCCGGUUAUUUCCUGUUGUCCACAGCCAAGAUUGCAGGAAAAUUGAGCUGCCUAUCUGCAUGGUUAACAAAUGGAGUCCUUCCUGAACGCGAGGCCCAGCCCAACCAAAACAAGGGAGAAGAAGCAUGGGCCGGGAAGGCGCCAACUCCAACUCCCGCCUUGCCGAGCCUGUGAUUUCGCCCACGAAGAUCUUAGCCCGCUUGUCACGGUCCGUGAACUGAACAUUCGGCCUAUACUAGUACACGGGCUAAACCAUGCGCAUUUUCGUCAUGCGGCAUUAUCCACGGUACUACUGCCGUCCUUGUACUGUACUUGUGCAG